AGACGCCGGCCAUGAUCAGAUAUUUCCUGUUGUAUCUGCGCCAGCGACGCUGAGACUGUACUGGAGAGGGAUUCUUGUAAGUCAGAUCAUGAUUCUCUGUUUACCAUUGGUGCCUGGCUUGGGUUUUCAGUCACUGAAGAGGAUCUGUCCGCUCUCCUGACAUGUCUCUUACCAAGGCUCUGGGACUCUAGGACGCUGUCGUCCAGCAGGUGGCGCUGUUUCUCUGAUGGAAAUGUGGCACUCUUACUUUCAACCACACUGAACUGACACAUCACGCUGGAUACAUGAGGAGAGAGAAGCCAGAGAGGUGCUUAUGGAGAGACGAGGUUUUUAGGAGAUAUGAGCAAUAUUGGAUUGUGAAGCACUGAAUCUGUGAAUUGGUGCAUUAUCGAAGGUCUGCAUCUGCUGGAAUGGUCGAAAGAGUACCUAUUGAGGAGCAGCGCGGUUUCUAUCUUGUGAAGUGAAACUUGGUGUGAACAGGACCCACCACACCCGUAACCUGCAGCGCUCAAAGUAGGAUGGACAAUUUGGAACUUGUUAUUUGUGUUGGUUACUGGUUUGUGUCUCCUGAUUCCGUGCAUUUGUCUCUCCUGGUCUGACCCGGCUUGUCUGUUUCAGUUAUGGCCGAUUUGUCACUAGCUUAUUAUUUUCUCCCCAUUUCUAUUUUCCC